UCCAGCUUCAGGCCCUUGAUGCUAUCCACGUAUCCACUGGCAACGUCGACGACGUUGUCAUAGUAGGACCUUAUGGUGCCUGUGAUCUUGGUCAGGGUCCCCUGCUCCUCCUCAGCCUGCCUCGGCAUACGGAAGCUUUCAGUGCCUGCACAAGACAGCUGGGCCCAUACUGCAACAUGUACUACAGAGGAUUAUUAUAGAUUAUUUCUGUGUUUGACACAAAGCCUGGUGAAACCUUAAGAAAUUAUGAGUUCACCAUCAAGUGAGCUUUUGACAUCAGAGGCCCAGUCAAAGUAGCUGUCAGUCACUGGUUGGAUGUGAUCUUCAUAGUAGGUACCAAUAAAGCCCCUCAGAUGGUUGACUGUAGCUGUUGCUUCCCUAUGAGAUGCACAAGUACACAGAUGAGUAAAAAGCCUCUGCAGUAUUCCUGGAGAGUCGGGUUGUAUCGGGGCCGGUGUCUGGGCCAAAAGUGGUUCACAUGCUGCAGAGGAGGAUGUUUGUCAGUCACUAGCUCAGAAAUAAAGGAAGUGCAACUGAAGAUGUAAUAAUUCUUUUUAAAGGCAUACCUUGCAUCAGUAAGAUGAGACCGAAAAGAAGUUCUUUCAUAUGCAUCUGCCAUGAGAAACACAACUGUCAGCAGUUUGUUAUAUUAUUUUAAAAUGCUAAAAUU